UCAAAGGGUAGUUCUAGGGAUUUCUCUGAGAUGCGGUAUUUGCGUAGGGGUCUUGGAAUGGUCCACGGACGCCUUCUAGACCCAAGUAAUGAGCCGAUUCACAAACCCAUGUUAUAGGUCUGUUAUAAGGGAAGUGUCGCGUACCCGGGUAUUGGAAAAACUAUAAAAAUUUUGAAACGAGUCAAAGGGUAGGUCUUGGGAAUUCUACUUCAUCCGGUUCUU
rnacentral:lncRNA from 1 species